rnacentral:rRNA from 1 species
GACGAACGCUGGCGGCGUGCUUAACACAUGCCAGUCGAACGGAAAGGCCCUGCUUUUGUGGGGUGCUCGAGUGGCGAACGGGUGAGUAACACGUGAGUAACCUGCCCUUGACUUUGGGAUAACUUCAGGAAACUGGGGCUAAUACCGGAUAGGAGCUCCUGCUGCAUGGUGGGGGUUGGAAAGUUUCGGCGGUUGGGGAUGGACUCGCGGCUUAUCAGCUUGUUGGUGGGGUAGUGGCUUACCAAGGCUUUGACGGGUAGUCGGCCUGAGAGGGUGACCGGCCACAUUGGGACUGAGAUACGGCCCAGACUCCUACGGGAGGCAGCAGUGGGGAAUAUUGCACAAUGGGCGGAAGCCUGAUGCAGCAACGCCGCGUGCGGGAUGACGGCCUUCGGGUUGUAAACCGCUUUCGCCUGUGACGAAGCGUGAGUGACGGUAAUGGGUAAAGAAGCACCGGCUAACUACGUG